rnacentral:rRNA from 1 species
GAUGAACGCUGGCGGCGUGCCUAAUACAUGCAAGUCGAGCGAACAGAUCAGGAGCUUGCUCCUCUGACGUUAGCGGCGGACGGGAGAGUAACACGUGGAUAACCUACCUAUAAGACUGGGAUAACUUCGGGAAACCGGAGCUAAUACCGGAUAAUAUAUUGAACCGCAUGGUUCACUAGUGAAAGUCGGUUUUUCUGUCACUUAUAGAUGGAUCCGCACCGCAUGAGCUAGUUGGUAAGGUAACGGCUUACCAAGGCAACGAUGCGUAGCCGACCUGAGAGGGUGGUUGGGCAGACUGGAACAGAGGCACGGUAGAGACUCUGGCGGGAGGAAGCAGUAGAGAAUCCUCCGCAAGGGGGGAGAGGGGGACGGAGCGACACCGCGUGAGUGAUGAAGGAGUUCGGAUCGGAGAACUCUGUUAGUAGGGAAAAACAAAUGUGUAAGUAGCUAUGCACGUCUUGACGGUACCUAAUCAGGAAGCCACGGCUAACUACGUG